rnacentral:pre_miRNA from 1 species
GUUGACAGAAGAUGGAGAGCACAGCUACAUGUAAUCGAGAAUUAGUCCUGUAGAAGUGCAGUUUGUGCUUUGUGUUUUCUUUUCUUCUUUAAAC